ensembl:lncRNA
CGGGGAGAGCCGCCCAGCCCUGCCCUCAAUACCUGCCCGGCCGGCCCGGCGGCUGCGGCGGGGCGGGGAGUGCGACAGGAGGAAGAGGAAGGAGCCAGGAAUGAGGAAGGGACACAGUGGGAUGCGGUGCUCCUGAGGCCGCGGGGGCAGCCGACCGGGCCCCUCGCUGGCUGCAAAGCUCUCAGCCCCGGGUCUGUAAAGCACGAGCGGGGCCACGGAGCAUUCACUUGGGGGAGAAAGGAGGUCUCUGCUAGGAGCCCUCAGCAAACGCCAUUAACGUUAAGUGAAGUUGGACAGCACAGUGGAGACUCGGGGCAGCCCGGCUUCGUGUGGUGCGGCACCUCGGGAGCUGAGCUCCUGUCCAGUUUUGAGUCAAGCGUGGUUUAAUUUGUAACUCAAAAACCUUUGUGACCUUUUGUCAUUGGAAGGAGAAUGUCUCUUUGUGGUUCACCAUGCAAAUUAUCAAUUGCAUUACCACACGCUUACGUUGGGGGUUAAUGAUGCGUUCUUGCUGUGCAGAAGCAAUUCCCUCUCUUUGCACAGUCACCCGGGGGGGGUGCGGAGGAGUGGGUGUCAGCCAUCGCACUGCCGUGCAGCUGGAGGUAAAACACUGCAAGCGGCAGUGGGAACUGUGAGCUCCCAGGGGAAGCUGCUGGGAAGAAACACUGCGUACAGGCAGUGCCUGUUGGCAGCAGAGCUCUCUCGCCCUGCUUCACCCCACGUGUCGGUAUCCAGCACAGAUGGAGGCUGAAGGCAUUCAAAGCUCAAAGACACUGAGCUCAGCUGCUGUGUGCCCAGGCUGUCUUUGGCUGCGUGGAAGAAAUGCUCACGCUUCGUGAGGACAAAAGUGAACACCAGUGGGAUUCUGGGGUGCAUUAAAAAGAGCGUGGCCAGCAGGUCGAGGGAGGUGAUCCUCCCUCUCUGCCCUGGUGAGGCCACAUCUGGAGUACUGUGUCCAGUUCUGGGCUCCUCAGUUCAAGAAUGACAAGGAACUUCUAGAGAGAGAAGAUGAGGAGGAGCCUGGAGCAUCUCCCAUAUGAGGAAAGGCUGAAAGACCAGGAACUAUUCAGCCCAGAGAAGAGAAGACUAAGAGGGGAUCUCAUCACUAUUUGUAAAUAUCUGAAACGUGGGAGUCAAAUGGAUGGGGCUUUUUUUCAGUGUUGUGCAGAACCUGGACAAGGGGCAAUAGGCACAAAGUGGAACACGGGAAGUACCAUACAAAUGUGAGGGAACUUGCUUUAGCAGAAGGUUGGACUCGAUGAUCCUCAGAGGUCCCUUCCUACAGCUACAAUUCUGUGAUAUGUUGGUUUUACCUCCUCUGAUAAAUCAAUUGUCCAUCUGGAAGACAAAGCAACACCCCCAUGCUGAUAUGCUUUGUAUUAGAAGAACUGAAGAAGCACAGGAGGAAGGGAACUAGAGAAACACCAGGGGAAAACCUGUGAACACAAAUCUUUGUAUGAAGCUCUGCUGACUUCAUAUCUUCCAAAAGGUCAGGCAGAAACAGAUGGCAGCCCCUUUUCCCAUACUUAAAAGAGCAUGUAACUAUGUCCUAAAACAGAAGGAAGAAUGAGUAGUGGAAAAUCCCAAUCUUUCAGCAAAAAAAAAAUAUGUAUAUGCAUAUACAGGACUCGGCAUGAAGCUUUCACAGAAGUGGCAUGGGUCUUUACUGUAAAGAAAAAGCAAACAAUAGGAAUCCAUACUUUCAAAGUAUUUUUAUCAGUUGUAGGUUCUUCAGUCUUCAUUUCUUUACUAUGUAAGUAUGUGCAUAUUUUAGUAAAAGGGGAAAUAUUUUAGCUAAGGAAUAUUGGCAGCAUUCCGUUUGUUGAAAAUGUAUGUAAAGAGAUAAAACACAUGGAAGCACUUUACAAAGCACUUUUUUUUUUCCCCUUGCAUAACAAUUAUUUUAUAGCCAGAGCCUGUUUCAGUGAAAUGUAAGUACCUGUCUUGGUGGUUACAGUGUAAAUAGGUAAAAAUAUAAUGCACAUUUCACCAGUACUGGUACUCUCCUCAUAUCUCUGCCCCGCUGCAUUUGUUGCUCUUUUCCUCAUUUCUGGUAACUUUUCCUAUUUGUUCCUCACGGUGUAGAUCCUUCCAUUCAAACAGAGUCCUGAUUUUAGUUGUGAUGCUUUUUGCUUCAUGCUGUUCUUCUGACACCAGCUGGCUUGUAGCUAUUCUUAAGGGCCUUCAACUUUCAGGCUCUAUUGUUUGGGUUUUGUUUGUUUUUUUAAUGGGGUAGACAGGAAAGGGAAGAAAAAAGGACUAUUUUCAGAUCCUGUGUUUCAUUAAUUAUGCAAAAGCUGUUUCUGUUUUUGUAUCACAGCAAAGCAGUGAGUCCUGAGGUGAAAUGGAAAUAUCAGUAUCUGGUGAUGAGUACGAGGGACUCAAAGAGAAAUAGAUUUAUGCCUUUAGUAUUUACAUUUGCAGUAAUAUCAGCAAAAAGCUGCUAUUCCUGCAUAAAAUAUCUAAUUUCAAGCAAAAUUCUAUUGAGCAAAACCACCAACCAGAAUUAUCUGACUAUAUUUUGAAGAAAUUGCAGUGCUCUUUCUGACCUCUUAGAGAAAUUGCUGUCAUUGUUUAUCCUAAGCUUUCCUCUGAAUUUUCUACUGUAGUACGAAGCUUCAAACUGUGUUGCCCACUCCUGAUGCCUCUAAACAUGUGGGAAGCAGCUACUAAUUUGUAUUUUUCUAUUCCUCAAUGAUGCCAGUUCACAACAAGUACAUUGGAAGUGACGUACUCAUAUCAAUAUAAAUAAGUGGCCUGAUUUUACAGGUUUGUAAUAUAGAUGCAUAUUUAAUAAACAGAUUUGAUGAUCCUUGGCAGACUUAUCUUUCACAGAAAUUUUGUCUCUCUGAAGUUUGUCUUUAAAUGUGGACUGUUACAACUCUCAGUAUUUUUUUUUCAGGCUGAAAAUUGCAUUCCAUAACUAGUCUAAAGUUAUGUUGAGUUUCAGACCUUAAAUAUUAACCCGAUUUCAGAAAUAAAGUUCUGCAAUAGAAAAUGAUGUAAAAAAGGUAAGGAAGAGUUUCUAUUUCUUUCCCUAGAGCCACGAAUUGUUGUAUAUUUCAGAGUUUUUUUGAAUUUCUGAACAGUCUGAAUGCAAUAAAUUAGUUCUCCGGGGAUUUAUGUAUGGUUUGUUUGUUUGUUUGUUUGUUUUAGCAGCACUGUGUUUCUCAAAUCUUGAUUUUUUUCCCUCAGGUCAUACAGUGUGGUUCUCUUAUUUUCUAUAACAUGAGGCAACAGUUGAUUACACUGAAUAGCAAGCAAGAUUAAAGGGAAAUGAAAUUUAAAAAUGAAAAAUAAAUCCUAACUAACUUCUGUCUUCAAUCUCAUCUUCAAUGGCAAGUGAAACAGUAUGGUACAGGCACAAACAUCACUGCAGCAACCACAUAAACAUGGCUGGGGGAGAUCACAAUUGUGAAUGUGUGAUUAGUGUCACCACACUCGGAGUAUGUUAACAGGGCGGCAGAAGAACAGACCAAAAGAAAAAAGGAAAGGCUCCCUUUCCCUCAGCACCCUUUCUGGCUGGGCCUGUAGAAAACCAGUCCAUUUACUGCGAAACCACUUGUGGUAACCAAAAAAGGGAACUCUCAUUGUGGUUGAAAAUGGUUUUUGAACUGUGAAGGUACAAGUUCUCUUUUUCAGUAAGCCACAUUAUUUUUUUCUACAUAGACCUCAUUGAAGAGAUUUGGGUUUAAAUUAUUACUGAAUCAAUGACAAUUAACAUAUUAGCUAUUUUACUCAGAAGAACUUCCUUCACUUCUGUCUGUGUACUGAACCAUGAAGCAUUCGGGAAUCCCAGCCUGCUCUGAAGGGAACUGGAUCAUCAAGUUACAGCUCAUUUCAGGUCCAGUCGCUGUAUUUCAUUUCACUGAGAUUUUAUGUCAUUCGUUUCAGGUGGGUAACAGCCUGGAAUAAAGAGGAUCUGAAGUCUAUCAUGUCUUUUUUCUCUGUCUUGAAUGUAUAUCCUAUGAUUUUCAGUCACAGGAGGACAUGAAGCAGCCACAGAUGUUGCAAAGUUGACGACUGAGUUUGAAAGUUGACAAUUAAGUUUGAUUUUAAUUAGUAAAGCCUCUGCUAACUCCUUAUAAGUAUGGAACUGUUGUGUCAGUAGAAGAAUCCUCCAUUUGAGGGCCGGCCAGCAGAAGAGCAUCCUUGCCGCUAGAGUGAGCAGACUGAAGCCUGAGAACCCAUGCAGUAGGACAAUAUGUUCUUUCAUUUCUUGCACAAAUGCUGACGUGUGUGCCAGCUAGAACUUUUUCUUCACUUGUAGCGCCUGUUACUUGAAUCUUUGUUUCUUGUGUCUUCUCUAGACCUCCUUUUCAGCUGUAAAUUGUUUACUUGAGGAUGAAGGAAAGUAAUUUGUGCUCUUCUAUUUUGCUCAGCAAAAUAUAUCAUUAAUUUUGCUUUGGAUGUAGAAUUUUAUUUUGAGUAUCUUGGUGUCAGAUACUGAUGUGAAAUAAGUUGAAAUCAUUUACAGGUCUUCCUGAGCUUAUCUACAGUUCCUUAAUGGCCUGAAAGACUGAAAAGUAUUAGUGUCCUUUUCAAGGCUGUGUAGGAGAAGAACCAAAGUGGAAAAUGAGGCAUCCUCUCUUUCCUUUUAAUACCUCUUUGUUAUGCAAGUAUAUUGAUCAUUGUCUGCAGUAACAGUGGAACAGUUCUGUGGCUGCUCUGAAAAUUAGAAGAAAAUGUUUUCCCUUCCUCAGCCUAACUAUCAUCAUAGCUCAUCUUCAGAACAGUACGCCACAGUGUUUGUUGAAACACUCUUUAGUCUUCUUGCUUGGCUUAUACCUUAGAAGAGAUAAUUCCUAAGUUUUACACCCAACAAUAAACAUGAAUGGAGUACUUCAGUUUAUUUUGAUUUAUCUGCAGGUAUUAAAAAGAACUUGCACUCUUUCCUCUAAGUUUCCUGAUAGCUUUUAAAUUCAGUGUAAUGAAAUUUCUUUCCAGCCAUUAACCAGCCACUGUACAGCUCAAGAACCUCAACAGUUAAAAAUAAUAAUAAAAAAAAUAAAAUAGGAAAAUGCUUUCUUUCCUUACUGUUGUACAGUCAUGCUGUACAUUUCCUUAACAACAGAAAUCUUGCUCUGGCUUUGAAAUGUCAGCUUGUUUGCAGCGUGACUGACCUCCCACCCUGACCAGCUUGGCUGUGAUCAGGAAGCCUCAUCCUCACUGAGCUGAGGGUAGAGCAAGACAAGUACAUUUGAAAUCCAUCCUUUUUACUGGCACUGGCAGUGCUAAAUGUGUUCAUAUUUGCCCUCUGAUAGCUAGCUCAAGAUCAGUGCUCUACACCCAGUAUGUCAUUGAAUAACUGUCAAAUAUGCAAUGCAACUCAACAACAGUUGCAAUUUGUAUCCUGGUGGAUGAUUUAUUUGCUUUUUGUAGCUUUUCAUUUUUAAUUCCUUUUUUUUUUUUUUCUUUUUCUUUUUUUCUUUAAUUCUGUAUCCUGCACUGAACAGCCCUAAGGAAUAGGCAUGAACUGUACCUUGGUUCCUGAUGGUGUUCCUGAUGGUGUUGUUCUGGGCCUUACAAAACCAGAUCCUCACUGCAGCUCUGGGGUAUGCCAUGUUGUUCUUCUGCUGCCCUCCAGUAAGGUCGAAGAGCCAGAUUCCAUCAAGAAUCAGCCUUCAUCUGGCAGAAAGAUCCAGACCUAGGGUUUUGCUGCUGCUUCAAGCUGUCUCUUAUGUGUUAGAGCUUCUUUAAUCAUCCUGUCCGUGUGGUUUUGCUAGUUAAUGCAAAUGUUGAAAGGGGAAAAAAGGAAAGAAAAGAAAGAGCAGCAGUCUUCACAUAUUAUCAUUUUUGAAGGCUUGUUGCUCCACCUCAUAAAGCAAAACUGAGAACAUGCAUAUCUUGAUCAGCCUGAUUUUUUUGUUCAAGAUUAUUUAUGUCAGCUCCAGGCCAACUACAGCCUCUGGUGUGGUGACCCAAAUUGUUUUUAGAGGAAAAAGAGAACACACUUAACAAAUAGAGAAGCUUAACAGUAUAUAAGCAAAACGAAAUGGAAAGUAUAGCAAACUGUCAUGAGAAGAUGGAUGAAAACCAUCAAACUUUUUCAAAACUAUGUGCAAUUGACUGCUGUUUACGUAUAUGAUGCAUCAGCAAGACAACCUGCAGUCUGCCUUGUUUUCUACCACAGAAGUAAGAAGCCUAAAAAUCUUUAUGUUUGAAUGCAUCCUGGUAAGUAAAGCUAAUCAAAUUUCUGUUAGAACUAAGGAAUAUCUAGAAUUUAGAUAGGCAGGCAAGUUACUCUGAUUGGUAUUUUUUUGUCUGCCCUAUUGUUACAUUCAAUUAAAGACUCUUUCCAUGCUAUAUUAAGAUGGUAGACAUGGUAUCAGCGCAUUACAUGAAUAUCUGCCACUUCAUUCAUGCUUGCCAACAAAGUCGUGCUCCUUGCAAAGAAGUAGAAGUUGCUAAUUUGAUGAGAACUACUCUUUUUUUUUAAUUUUUUAAUUUUUUUUUCUCUUAGUGAGUAUUAGCUAAAAUAUUGCGGCGUCUGUAGCACAGUAGUGCCUGAAGCCCUGCCCUGGUCUGAUGCCUUGGUGCCUAUGAGAAUACCUAUGAGAAUAUGAGAAUACACAAAUACCUAUGAGAACCCAGAGGCUGUGUCAAGGGAGGAGGCAUUAAACUUUGAGGGGAACAUCUGCAUCUUGCCUCUUAAAACCAGCGUGGAUAAAUGCCAGCGCUGUAGGCUACAAACUGAAGUAGAGACAUUUAUUUAAGUUCCUUUAAUUGAUUUUUUUUUCUAUGCUUGUUUGCAACAAAUGGGUUUUGGAAGAUAUGUAUGUACCGCUUUUUUUUUUUGUUUGUUUGUUUGUUUUUUGUUUUUUGUUUUUUUGCAGGCACUACAGCGCUUCAAGCCAACCAUCAAUUUUGUUCAAAUAUAUCUAUCUGUUUCAAACCUAUAAUUUUUCAGCUGAUGAGCAAUUUCCAAUAGAAGACCAUCUCUACCACAUUUCAUAAGAGGUAAGAAGACUGUUGCAGCCAGGGUGGAAAGCUGGUUAGCUUAAAAAAAUUCAUAACCUCUCUUUAGCGUUCUGCUCUCACUCUGCAUCUGCAGGUCGCUGGUUAAAUGAAGUCUUUCUCAGAGGAAUUUUCCAUUCUGAGUCAUAAGCAUUGGAUUGACAACCUUUAUAGAAAUUUAAAUAUAAUCCUAUUAAACAAUACACUCCUGUAAAUGCUGAAGGGCAGAUUUCUUCCGCUGGCUGUGGAGGCAGUAAGCUGCAGUAUCUCAGAGGACAGCUUGUAGGGAAUCCAUGUAGCUGCACAAGUGGAAUAAGGCUGGGGAUUGCCAGGCUGGGACUUCCAGCAUCUCAUCAGAAAGACAGGCUAUCUAAUGGUACAGAACCCACCAGCCAGCAGCAAUUGUCUGCAUGGUGCUUGCCCACAGGAGUAGAGCAACUGUUACAUCAGUAAAAAACUGUGGUGUUUGGUUUUUUUCAAUAUCCCAUUUGAGCAAGAUACUUUUCUUGCAAGCUUCAUUUGAAAUAAGUCUAUCAGUAAAAAUGCAAAUAACUAUCACAGUACUGCCUGGUGUUUGUUUUAAC